rnacentral:rRNA from 1 species
UACGUAGGGGGCAAGCGUUGUCCGGAAUUAUUGGGCGUAAAGAGCUCGUAGGCAGUCUGUCGCGUCUGGUGUGAAAAUCCAGGGCUUAACCCUGGACCUGCAUCGGGUACGGGCAGACUAGAGUGCGGUAGGGGAGAUCGGAAUUCCUGGUGUAGCGGUGAAAUGCGCAGAUAUCAGGAGGAACACCGGUGGCGAAGGCGGAUCUCUGGGCCGUAACUGACGCUGAGGAGCGAAAGCAUGGGGAGCGAACAGG